CUACGGGCGGCACCAGUGGGGAAUAUUGCACAAUGGAGGAAACUCUGAUGCAGCAACGCCGCGUGGAGGAUGACACUUUUCGGAGCGUAAACUCCUUUUAUAUAGGAAGAUAAUGACGGUACUAUAUGAAUAAGCACCGGCUAACUCCGUGCCAGCAGCCGCGGUAAUACGGAGGGUGCAAGCGUUACUCGGAAUCACUGGGCGUAAAGAGCGUGUAGGCGGAUUAAUAAGUCAGAUGUGAAAGCCAAUGGCUCAACCAUUGAACUGCAUUUGAAACUGUUAAUCUAGAAUAUGGGAGAGGUAGAUGGAAUUUCUGGUGUAGGGGUAAAAUCCGUAGAGAUCAGAAGGAAUACCGAUUGCGAAGGCGAUCUACUGGAACAUUAUUGACGCUGAGACGCGAAAGCGUGGGGAGCAAACAGGAUUAGAUACCCCUGUAGUC
rnacentral:rRNA from 1 species